UACGUAGGGUGCAAGCGUUGUCCGGAAUUAUUGGGCGUAAAGAGCGUGUAGGCGGCCCGAUUAGUCCGCUGUGAAAGUCCAGGGCUCAACCCUGGAAUGCCGGUGGAUACUGUCGGGCUAGAGUCCGGAAGGGGCGAGUGGAAUUCCUGGUGUAGCGGUGGAAUGCGCAGAUAUCAGGAGGAACACCAAUAGCGAAGGCAGCUCGCUGGGACGUUACUGACACUAAGGCGCGAAAGCGUGGGGAGCGAACAGG
rnacentral:rRNA from 1 species